rnacentral:rRNA from 1 species
GACGAACCGUGCGAACGUUAUUCGGAAUCACUGGGCUUAAAGCGCGUGUAGGCGGGCCGGCACGUCGAUCGCUGAAAUCCCCCGGCUCAACCGGGGAAGGGGCGUCGAUACGACCGGCCUGGAGGGACGUAGGGGGACCUGGAACUUCCGGUGGAGCGGUGAAAUGCGUUGAGAUCGGAAGGAACGCCCGUGGCGAAAGCGAGGUCCUGGACGUUUUCUGACGCUGAGACGCGAAAGCCAGGGGAGCGAACGGGAUUAGAAACCCGGGUAGUCC